rnacentral:rRNA from 1 species
CGGCCGCGGUAUCCUGACCGUGCAAAGGUAGCAUAAUCAUUUGUUCCUUAAUUAGGGACUUGUAUGAAUGGCUCCACGAGGGUUUGACUGUCUCUUACUUUUGAUCAGUGAAAUUGACCUUCCCGUGAAGAGGCGGGAAUACAAAAAUAAGACGAGAAGACCCUAUGGAGCUUAAAUUAAAUUCUGAAUAAUAAAUUUUGGUUGGGGUGACCUCGGAGCACAACAAAACCUCCGAGCAACUAUCAAGACCUACUAGUCAAGAUCAAUCAUAUUGAUCAACGAAACAAGUUACCCUAGGGAUAACAGCGCAAUCCUAUUUGAGAGUUCAUAUCGACAAUAGGGUUUACGACCUCGAUGUUGGAUCAGGACACCCAAAUGGUGCAGCAGCU